rnacentral:rRNA from 1 species
GUUGUAUGGUUAAGUGACUAAGCGUACACGGUGGAUGCCUUGGCAGUCAGAGGCGAUGAAAGACGUAGUAACUUGCGAUAAGCCCAGAUUAGGUAGUAACAACCAUUUGAGUCUGGGAUUUCUGAAUGGGGAAACCCACGUGCAUAAGCACGUAUCCUUACCUGAAUACAUAGGGUAAGGAGGCGAACCGGGGGAACUGAAACAUCUAAGUACCCCGAGGAAAAGAAAUCAACCGAGAUUCCGAAAGUAGCGGCGAGCGAAAUUGGACUAGCCCUUAAGCUUUACACGCGUUAGACGAACGGUCUGGAAAGUCCGACGAUACAGGGUGAUAGUCCCGUAGUUGACGACGUGUGUUCAGUGAAAUCGAGUAGGGCGGGACACGUGAUAUCCUGUCUGAAUAUGGGGGGGGACCAUCCUCCAAGGCUAAAUACUACUGACUGACCGAUAGUGAACCAGUACCGUGAGGGAAAGGCGAAAAGAACCCCCUGUGAGGGGAGUGAAAUAGAACCUGAAACCGUGUACGUACAAGCAGUAGGAGCAGGCUUUGUCCUGUGACUGCGUACCUUUUGUAUAAUGGGUCAGCGACUUAUAUUCAGUGGCAAGGUUAACCAUCUAGGGGAGCCGUAGGGAAACCGAGUCUUAACUGGGCGUUCAGUCUCUGGAUAUAGACCCGAAACCAGGUGAUCUAGCCAUGGGCAGGUUGAAGGUUGAGUAACAUCAACUGGAGGACCGAACCGACUAAUGUUGAAAAAUUAGCGGAUGACUUGUGGCUAGGGGUGAAAGGCCAAUCAAACCUGGAGAUAGCUGGUUCUCCCCGAAAGCUAUUUAGGUAGCGCCUCGGACGAAUACUACUGGGGGUAGAGCACUGUUAAGGCUAGGGGGUCAUCCCGACUUACCAACCCUUUGCAAACUCCGAAUACCAGUAAGUACUAUCCGGGAGACACACGGCGGGUGCUAACGUCCGUCGUGGAGAGGGAAACAACCCAGACCGCCAGCUAAGGUCCCAAAUUACUACUAAGUGGGAAACGAUGUGGGAAGGCUCAGACAGCCAGGAUGUUGGCUUAGAAGCAGCCAUCAUUUAAAGAAAGCGUAAUAGCUCACUGGUCGAGUCGGCCUGCGCGGAAGAUGUAACGGGGCUAAGUAGUAAACCGAAGCUGCGGCAAUAUACUUUUGUAUAUUGGGUAGGGGAGCGUUCUGUAAGCCGUUGAAGGUGUGUUGUAAAGCAUGCUGGAGGUAUCAGAAGUGCGAAUGCUGACAUGAGUAACGAUAAAGGGGGUGAAAAACCUCCUCGCCGGAAGACCAAGGGUUCCUGUCCAACGUUAAUCGGGGCAGGGUAAGUCGACCCCUAAGGCGAGGCCGAAAGGCGUAGUCGAUGGGAAACGGGUUAAUAUUCCCGUACUUCUUACAAUUGCGAUGGGGGGACGGAGAAGGCUAGGUGGGCCUGGCGACGGUUGUCCAGGUUCAAGUGCGUAGGCUUAAGAGUUAGGUAAAUCCGGCUCUUUCUAAGGCUGAGACACGACGUCGAGCACCUACGGGUGUGAAGUCAUUGAUGCCAUGCUUCCAGGAAAAGCCUCUAAGCUUCAGAUUGUAAGGAAUCGUACCCCCAAACCGACACAGGUGGUCGGGUAGAGAAUACCAAGGCGCUUGAGAGAACUCGGGUGAAGGAACUAGGCAAAAUGGUACCGUAACUUCGGGAGAAGGUACGCUCUUGAUGGUGAAGUCCCUUGCGGAUGGAGCUGACGAGAGUCGCAGAUACCAGGUGGCUGCAACUGUUUAUUAAAAAACACAGCACUGUGCAAAAUCGUAAGAUGACGUAUACGGUGUGACGCCUGCCCGGUGCCGGAAGGUUAAUUGAUGGGGUUAGACUUCGGUCGAAGCUCUUGAUCGAAGCCCCGGUAAACGGCGGCCGUAACUAUAACGGUCCUAAGGUAGCGAAAUUCCUUGUCGGGUAAGUUCCGACCUGCACGAAUGGCGUAAUGAUGGCCACGCUGUCUCCACCCGAGACUCAGUGAAAUUGAAAUCGCUGUGAAGAUGCAGUGUACCCGCGGCUAGACGGAAAGACCCCCGUGAACCUUUACUACAGCUUGGCACUGAACAUUGACCCUACAUGUGUAGGAUAGGUGGGAGGCUUUGAAGCAUGUACGCCAGUAUGUGUGGAGCCGUCCUUGAAAUACCACCCUUGUAGUGUUGAUGUUCUAACGUCGACCCCUUAUCGGGGGUUGCGGACAGUGCCUGGUGGGUAGUUUGACUGGGGGCGGUCUCCUCCCAAAGAGUAACGGAGGAGCACGAAGGUGGGCUAAUCACGGUUGGACAUCGUGAGGUUAGUGCAAUGGCAUAAGCCCGCUUGACUGCGAGAAUGACAAUUCGAGCAGGUGCGAAAGCAGGUCAUAGUGAUCCGGUGGUUCUGAAUGGAAGGGCCAUCGCUCAACGGAUAAAAGGUACUCCGGGGAUAACAGGCUGAUACCGCCCAAGAGUUCAUAUCGACGGCGGUGUUUGGCACCUCGAUGUCGGCUCAUCACAUCCUGGGGCUGAAGUCGGUCCCAAGGGUAUGGCUGUUCGCCAUUUAAAGUGGUACGCGAGCUGGGUUUAGAACGUCGUGAGACAGUUCGGUCCCUAUCUGCCGUGGGCGUUGGAAGAUUGAAGGGGGCUGCUCCUAGUACGAGAGGACCGGAGUGGACGAACCUCUGGUGUUCGGGUUGUGUCGCCAGACGCAUUGCCCGGUAGCUAAGUUCGGAAUCGAUAACCGCUGAAAGCAUCUAAGCGGGAAGCGAGCCCUGAGAUGAGUCUUCCCUGAUACUUUAAGUAUCCUAAAGGGUUGUCGGAGACUACGACGUUGAUAGGUCAGGUGUGUAAGUGCUGUGAGGCAUUGAGCUAACUGAUACUAAUUGCCCGUGAGGCUUAACCAUACAACACCCAAGGGGUUU